UACGUAGGUGGCGAGCGUUAUCCGGAAUUAUUGGGCGUAAAGAGCGCGCAGGUGGUUGAUUAAGUCUGAUGUGAAAGCCCACGGCUUAACCGUGGAGGGUCAUUGGAAACUGGUCGACUUGAGUGCAGAAGAGGGAAGUGGAAUUCCAUGUGUAGCGGUGAAAUGCGUAGAGAUAUGGAGGAACACCAGUGGCGAAGGCGGCUUCCUGGUCUGUAACUGACACUGAGGCGCGAAAGCGUGGGGAGCAACAGGAUUAGAUA
rnacentral:rRNA from 1 species